rnacentral:tRNA from 1 species
GCGUUCGUGGUGUAACAGUAGCACACUUGACGCGUACUCGAGAGGUCCAGUUUCAAGUCCUGGCGAGGGCA